GACAGAGGGUGCAAACGUUGUUCGGAAUUAUUGGGCGUAAAGCGCGUGUAGGCGGCUUUGCAAGUCGGGUGUGAAAGCCCUCAGCUUAACUGAGGAAGUGCGCCCGAAACUGCAGAGCUUGAGUACCGGAGAGGGUGGCGGAAUUCCCCAAGUAGAGGUGAAAUUCGUAGAUAUGGGGAGGAACACCGGUGGCGAAGGCGGCCACCUGGACGGAUACUGACGCUGAGACGCGAAAGCGUGGGUAGCAAACAGG
rnacentral:rRNA from 1 species